UCUUGCAGGGAAGGUACACAGAACA
rnacentral:misc_RNA from 1 species